rnacentral:lncRNA from 1 species
GAAGCAUCAAGAUGAAGGCUGCUGUUAUUCUUGCUGUUCUUGCUGUGGUGCUAUGCGCCAGCACUGUCAACUGUGAGUGCGUUUGUCCCCUCAUCUUCGACCCAGUCUGUGACACCGCCGGCAACUACUACGGAAAUGCCUGCAGUUUGAACUGCGUUGAGGGUGCCGUUCAGGCCGCAGCGUCCGCCUACACCGUCAAUGGUAACUCCUGUGUUGCUGCCAAGAAGUAGAUGACCUUCAUGUUUGACCACAUGCAGCAUUGCAG